GAUGAACGCUAGCUACAGGCUUAACACAUGCAAGUCGAGGGGCAGCAUGAAAGGAACUUCGGUUCUUUUUGAUGGCGACCGGCGCACGGGUGCGUAACGCGUAUCGAACCUGCCUCAUACUCGGGGAUAGCCUUGCGAAAGUAAGAUUAAUACCCGGCGGUCUCGGAUGGCCGCAUGACUAUCCGAGUGAAGAUUUAUCGGUAUGAGAUGGCGAUGCGUCCCAUUAGCUAGUUGGUGAGGUAAUGGCUCACCAAGGCAUCGAUGGGUAGGGGUUCUGAGAGGAAGGUCCCCCACAUUGGAACUGAGACACGGUCCAAACUCCUACGGGAGGCAGCAGUGAGGAAUAUUGGUCAAUGGACGAAAGUCUGAACCAGCCAAGUAGCGUGCAGGAAGACGGCCCUCUGGGUUGUAAACUGCUUUUAGUUGGGAAUAAAAAGAGGGACGUGUCCCUUAUUGUAUGUACCAUCAGAAAAAGGACCGGCUAAUUCCGUGCCAGCAGCCGCGGUAAUACGGAAGGUCCAGGCGUUAUCCGGAUUUAUUGGGUUUAAAGGGAGCGCAGGCGGCGGCGUAAGUCAGUUGUGAAAUCGUGCGGCUUAACCGUGCAAUUGCAGUUGAUACUGCGUCGCUUGAGUGCACACAGGGAUGUUGGAAUUCAUGGUGUAGCGGUGAAAUGCUUAGAUAUCAUGAAGAACUCCGAUCGCGAAGGCAUAUGUCCGGAGUGCAACUGACGCUGAGGCUCGAAAGUGUGGGUAUCAAACCAGG
rnacentral:rRNA from 1 species